rnacentral:rRNA from 1 species
AGUGAACGCUGGCGGCGUGCCUAAUACAUGCAAGUCGAACGGAGUGGCGCACGGGUGAGUAAUAUAUAGCUAAUCUGCCCCUUGCUGGAGGACAACAGUUAGAAAUGACUGCUAAUACUCCAUAGCAAGGGAUGAGACUAUAUCGUAUCAGCUAGUCGGUGGGGUAACGGCCUACCGAGGCCAUGACGCGUAACUGGUCUGAGAGGAUGAUCAGUCACAUAGGAACUUAGACAAGGUCCAAACUACUACGUGAGGCAGCAGUAGGGAAUAUUGCGCAAUGGGGGAAGCGCUGACGAAGCAACGCCGCGUGGAGGAGGACACUUUUCAGGGCGUAAACUCCUUUUGUUAGGGAAGCGGUAUCUAACCAGAAAGCCACGGCUAACUACGUGCCAGCCGCCGCGGUAAUAC